rnacentral:rRNA from 1 species
GUACUCAGUUCGGAUUGAAGGCUGAAAUUCGCCUUCAUGAAGCUGGAAUUGCUAGUAAUGGCAGGUCAGCAUACUGCCGUGAAUACGUUCCCGGGCCUUGUACACACCGCCCGUCACACCAUGAGAGUUGGAAAUACCCGAAGCCUGUGAGCUAACUUUUAGAGGCAGCAGUCGAAGGUAGAGCCAAUGAUUGGGGUGAAGUCGUAACAAGGUACC